rnacentral:rRNA from 1 species
AUUGAACGCUGGCGGCAGGCCUAACACAUGCAAGUCGAGCGAGCGGCGGACGGGUGAGUAAUGCCUGGGAAUUGCCCAGUCGGGGGGGAUAACAGUUGGAAAAGACUGUUAAUACCGCAUACGAUUGGAUCGCCCAGGUGGGACUAGGUAGUUGGGGAGGUAAUGGCGCACCAAGGCGACGAUCCCUAGCUGGUCUGAGAGGAUGAUCAGCCACACUGGAACUGAGACACGGUCCAGACUCCUACGGGAGGCAGCAGUGGGGAAUAUUGCACAAUGGUGGAAAGCCUGAUGCAGCCAUGCCGCGUGUAUGAAGAAGGCCCUAGGGUUGUAAAGCACUUUCAGCGAGGAGGCGUUACUCGCAGAAGAAGCACCGGCUAACUCCGUGCCAGCAGCCGCGGUAAUAC